GAAUGGGUCAGUGUGUGCGGCAUAAAAAAAAUCCUGCAGCACACAGUGCAUAAUGAGAAAAAAAAAAAAUUUUGACCGUGUUUUUGGAUUAAAACAGCGACUUUGCACUGUAUUUUCGUAUGGUAUUUAUUGUUGUAUUCUAGUCUUCCUGGUCUCAUUUUAUAGAAUUGAAGACAUGUUACAGAAAUUGAGAUGAUUUUGACUGGUUUUACAAUGAAAAGUACCUUGAAAUUGCGCUCAAAGUAGCAGAAAUGUUCAAUUUUUACCAAAGUUCAAAAGUAAACAAAUCAUGCUAUGCGUCCAAUACACGUCAACUGGUGAGUCUAAUAUUCUUUCACAAGUGCGCUGAUAAUAUUUAUACCAUUUCUACACCAAUGCAGUAGUCUGCAUAACAGUGGAAAGCAAAAGAAUGUAAGAGGGGCAUGGGGACAUGACUAAUGAACAGAGGAAGUGUUAUUUUAGUGCCAGGAAUGUCUUUCUUGUUUAUUCUGGACCCUAUUCGGAAAUUGGCAUCUUUUGAAAUUUGUGUGAAAUUGGCAAAAUUGCUAAAUUCUGACCACUGUAUUGGAUAGUCGAAAUCAGUAAAUGGGUGGUUUCUUGUACUCAUUCAAUAGAAAAAAUGGAGUUCUAGUGAAAUAGUUAUGAUUUUUGUCGACAAGUACACUGGAAUUGGCCGAAAAUAGGGCUCAAAGUUGGCAAAAUCGCCGAUGCGUAAACAUCGUCGAGACCGCUAACUUCACGAGAGCAUAAUUCCGUAAGUUUUCCAUCAAAUUUCAUAUUUUUGGUGUCAUUAUGAUCGGGAAAAGAUUCUCUAUCUUUUCAUAAGAAGAAUUUUUUUUUUUUUUUUUUUUUUGAAAUUUGGCCGACCCUGAGAACAAAUCACUGAGAGGGCCUGUCAACCCUGAAAGGGUUAAUGGCUGGUAUGUUGAAUAGAGAUGAGAUUGUUUUGUUUUCGUAACAAGAACUACAAUUCUGUGACUGACAUCUGUCGUUUCCAAAUUAAUUGACCCAGCUGAUGUUGUCUUGUAUUUCUUCAGUUCACUAAAUUAUGUUGGUUAAAUUGAUAAUUUACUGUAAUCUACAAUUUACUUCAAGGUGUUGGUAUUUUUUCUCUAGUAAAAAAAAUCAGUAUAUUAGUAGUGUGUUGCUACCUCGCUCAUUAUAAUAGUUACAUAGUGGGAACAAAAGCUGGCUACUUGUUUUCUUGUCAUAUUCCAUUACCUCUGAUUUGUACAUCAGCUAAUGAAAUCUUUAAGUAUUGCAGUAAUAGGAAGAGGGAGGGCAGAGAAAGGGAAUAAUAGGAGAAUGAGGGUUAAAGAGUGGCCUUUUAAGAUUGUUUUAAUACAAAAAUUUGUAUAACUGUAAAGACUUCAUAUACUUCCCUAAAGCAGUAGAGAUGUGUCUAGUCAUUCUUGCUUAUUAAUUUUUUUUCCUUUCAGCCCUUUGUGGGAAAUGGUCCAAGAAGGAAUAGAUCUAAAAAGCAUUCAGUGGUCACAGCAUUAAAACUGGUUAGAGAGAAAAAUCCAAAUUUGAGAGGGAGUCAUAAACUUGCACACUGCAUUAAUAAUUUACUGAAGCAAGACACGGAAGAAAGUAGUAUAAUGUUGGCCCAGUAAUAAGCAGGGAAGCCAUGGGCACAAUAAGAGAACACAGUGUCAACAACCAUUAACCUCGUCUGUUCAGCCAGCUGCCACUGGAUAUCAGAAACAUUGCCAGAAUAAGUGUGGAAGUAUUCAAGAGGAGUGUGAAUCACUAUCAGUACCAUGUGCCAGAUCGCUUAGACUAUGAUAGAUGUGAGCCAUUGAGUCACCAAUAGAAAUCAACAAGGGAAGUUGGGUUGAGAGAGUAAGAAAACUCAUGGAACUGGUCGAAGGUAAAUUGCAGAUUUAAAAACAACUUGCCAGAUUCUGCAUAUAAAAUUUAUAUGCAUUUUUUAUUUCUAGAUAGGGAAACAUUCACAGUUUUGUUGUUAGAACUGUCUUGAUGUGAUGUUACUCCAACCCUACCACCCCUCAAGGGAGGUUCCUUGAAGUUAGUGAGGGGCUCUUGUUCUAGGAAAUUGGAUCUGUGCUCUGGUUCCCUGAAUUGAGCUGGAAUACCUUCCAUUUCCCCCCUCCCCACGUGCUGUAUGAUCCUAUGGGUUUACUGCUUCCCAUGAUUAUAAUAAUUAUAUCUAAUGCUACCUGUCCACUAAAGGUUGAAUGUAAAGAGGUAAAAAAAGUUUAUUGUUUCCUUCAUAAUUGGGGGACGUGAGCUAGGUAUGUAGACAGAACGGGUCAAGCCUUUGCCGAGACUAGGCUGCAAUCCUCUUGAUCCAUUAACCCUUUCAGGGUCCAUGCCAUAGUUCUACGGCUUUAUGUUGAGGGUCCAGACUGUAGAUCUACGCCAAAAUUCUAGCGGUGUCAAAUAGCGCAAGAAGGCUGGUAGGCCUACAUCUGAGAGAAUGGGCCUGGGUGGUCAGUGUGUGCACUAUAGAAAAAAUCUGGAUGCCUGCAUGGCAUUGUGGGAAUGCCGCCAAAGUGCUUUGUUCAUCAUGCCUGGCAGCAAGGAAGCUCUCACUCCCCACUCACUCUCCUGGCGAAUUCUGACUCUCCUCUUCACAACUUACAGUUCUAAGACUGAUGGAAGUGGAUCUGAAGAGGAAUUCCAUGGUUUUGAACCAUAUGGUACAAUGGUGCCAUGUCAUACAAUGGUAUCAUAUGGUACCAUGGUAACACAUGGUACAAUGUACCAUAUAGUACAUUGUAUCAUAUGGUACAUUAUACCAUAUGGUACAUUAUACCAUAUAGUACAAUGUACCAUAUGGUAUAAUUGUACAUUGUACCAUAUGGUACAUUGUACCAUAUAAUUGUACAUUGUACCAUAUGGUACAGGGACCCUAAUGGAAAUAAGUCUGUCUGACUUUUUUUGGUUCUCCAAACAUAUGCUGCUAUGUAUGAUAAUCUAUGUAACUUUAUUUGUGUAUACAUAAAUAAACUUAUGAUGCCACAUGUGCUUGAGUAAGUUUAUUCAGGUGUACACAAAUACAGUUACAUACAUUAUCAUACAUACCAGCAUAUGUAUAAAAUCCUAGGAUAACUCAAAAAAGUCAGGGUGACUUAUUUCCAUAGGGAUCCCUGUGUCUGUAUCAUAUUGUGUCCUGUACCAUAUGGUACCCUGCACCAUAUGGUACCCUGCACUAUAUGGUACCCUGCACCAUAUGGUAUCCUGUACUGUAUAGUACCCUAUACCAUAUAGUACAAUGUACCAUAUGGUACCCUGUAACAUAUAAUACCAUGUACCAUAUGGUCAGUUACAGAUGUUGCUGCCACCAGGCAAGACUGAGUGAGUGAUGACGCGCAGUUUCCAAGACAAGCGCUUUGUCAUCCACCUCAAGAAACAUGUCGAGUGGCUGUACAUUUGUAAAUAUAGUAUAAUAGAACAUUACUAAUAUACAACAUUUUUGCAUAUUUUUGUUGUAAACAAUUAUUGUAAACGAAAUAAUGAUGAAAAUAUUAGUGUGUUUAUUGUGCUGAAUACAACAGUACCAUAUGGUACAAUGUACCAUAUGGUACAAUGAACCAUAUGGUAUCAUUGUACCAUGUGGUACCAUUGCACCAUAUGGUACUAUUUCACUAUAUGGUACCAUAAAGUACCAUUGCACCAUAUGAUACCAUUGUAUCAUAUGGUACCAUUGCAGCCUAUGGCACCAUUGUACCAUAUAGUACUAUAUGGUACCAUUGUAUUCAACACAAUAACCGCACUAAUAUUUUCAUCAUUUUGUUUACAAUAAACUUGUAAACAAGUUUUGUAAGUAAUAUAAUGAUAAACAAAUUAGUGCAGUUAUUGUGUUGAAUACAAUGAGUGUACACUUAUACAAUAUACAUUAAAUUGGUCUCACAGACCACAAAUGUUACUAGAAAAAGAAAAAAUUAGAAAGAAAAGAAAAAAGUAUAAAAAAAAACGUAAAAUAAAAAAAUGCGAUUUUGCGGAAGUCGCUGAUGUUGCUGCCACUCGGUCAUUUUGGGUCAACUUCCUGCCACUGUAUCUCGGUAAGUAUUGAUCAGAAUUUUUUUUUUUUUGUUUUAUUACCUUCACAAAAAUAUUAUCUUUAAUUCUGUAAUAAAAAAAUAAUUUUUUCUUUUUUCAAAAUUUCUUGGACACUGGGGCACCCCCUUCAGAUUUUGGCCUUGGACCCUGAAAGGGUUAACAAGCUCAGGUCAUAAUGGGAUUAAAUGAAAUGUUUCCUUUUUAAGACCAGUAUUUUUUUGUAAGGUAUCUGUCCAUAAUGAGCAUUUCUUUAAAAGACCAACCCAGUUCAUUUCUUCAGAAUGAUUACAUUAGUAUUCUUUUUUAACACAACGGCCAUCUCCUACCAAAGUAGAGUGACCCGAAGAAGAAGAAGCACUUUCGCCACCACCACUCACUCCAUCACUGUCUUGCCAGAGGCACACCGACAUUACAGCUCGGAGACCCCUCCAAACUGCAAUAACCCUACCCCUCCUUCAGAGUGCAGGCACUGUACUUCCAACUCCAGUUAACCAGAUUCCCUCAAUUCCUUCAUAAAUGUUACUUUGCUCAGACUCCACCAGCACAUCGUCAUAAAACCAAUGGCCUCCACUCCUAUACUCUUGCACAUGCCUGUUGGAUGUCCAAAUCCCUUGCAUAUAAACCUUUAAUCCAUCCUCUAACCUUUCCUAAGUUUAUCUCGACUCCUCCCCUCCACUACAGAUUUAUACACCCUCCAACUCGUCUUAUUUUACUCCAUCUUUUCUAAAGUCCAAACCACCUUAAUAACCCCUCCUUGGCCCUUUUAGUAACUCUGACCCUCCAAAUCUCCAAACUAUGAUUUUUUUUUUUUAAUGCAUAAUAUUCACACGACACAUUGCCCUCAGACAUCGUCACUCCAGUCUCCUUGCUGUAAUAUUUAAAACUCAUAACUCUCACCCAUAUAAGAAUGUUAUUGUACUUUGAUACAUUUCUAUUUUUGCCUCCAUAGAUAACAUUCAUUGUUUCCACAGAUGCCUCGGUGCAUCAACCCCCUUUUUAUGCCUCUGUGGUUCACCUCAUCUUUCAUAGG